UGUCUCUUCUUUUAUCUUUCUUGCUUUCUCCAUAUGCACUGGGACCAGCCUGUUUGUACAAGACAGAGAGAGAGAGAGAAAGGGAAAUUGGGACAUGUUAACUUUUACACAAGGCUUCGGUUUUAAAAGCCAGAAAGCUGUAAAAAGAAAGGUGGGCAUUAGGUGUAACGUUUCCACAGUUUUAAAAAGGUAUUGGGAACGGCUAAAGACAGGAGCUGAUUUGAUCAUUCUGGAGUUGAACUUUGUGAGGGUGUGGAGAGGCAGAAAAAAGGACAAAGGCUUGUGCAAUUUCAACGAGGGAGAAUUUUCAGAGGAGCGCUGACUGGAAUCGUGACGUCAAAGUAAAAGGAGACGAGAAGUGUUGCCAUGGAGACUGUGGGAGUUGGAAAUCAAAGGUGAAGAACAGAUUUUGGUUGGAAACUCAAGACAAUGCAGAUCAAUGGAAGUUCCUGCUGUGACACCAGCACCAAUCACUUCAAAAUAAUGAAAACUCCAUCGACGCUGAGGGUUAGACAUCAGGAAAGAAUGUUGAGAAACUCAAGAACCACUACAAUGGAACAUUAAACAUCUUCACCACAAAUAUUUAGAAGGGAGAUCUUUGAAACCUGCUCGAACUGAUGAAUGACAGGGACAAUGUUUACUGAAAUGCAUGAAAUAUUUUAUCUUGUUUGAUGCUUCAUGCUCUUUAAACUGAAGGUGACCUUGGAUGAACAUUGGCACGUUCCGAUCUGCAGCACUGCAUGCUGAUAUCACUCCUCUUCCACUGCCAACAGAAAUUACAGUGAAACCAAACCAAACAUUCAUCAUUUUGUACAGAGUUAAGUACUGCAGCCGCAAAAUCCCUCAGGUCCUCACUUGCCAGCUCAAUAUUGCAUACGCUGAAAUGCAAACUGCAGUCUCCACCUAGUGUUCAGGAUAAAAAUAAUCUUUUGGCAAAAAGCCUAUCAGGAGAUCUGAGGAAAUGUUAACAUCGGUCACGGAGGAGCCGUGCAUUAGGCUGCCUUAUGUUUCGCUGAUGUAUCCCAGUGAAAAAAGUGAACUAGUGUCUUCUAGCACUUCAUUUAAAACAAAACUCUUGGGGUGUGUGUGUUUUGCCCAGCCUCAGAGGCCCUUGAGAAAGUGGUGGUGAGCUGCGUUCUUGAA